rnacentral:rRNA from 1 species
UUUAGUGGCGGACGGGUGAGUAACACGUGAGCAACCUGCCUUCGAGAGGGGAAUAACGGCUGGAAACGGUCGCUAAUACCGCAUAACAUACAGGAGGGACAUCCCUUUUGUAUCAAAGAUUUAUCGCUCGAAGAUGGGCUCGCGUCCGAUUAGGUAGUUGGUGAGGUAAUGGCCCACCAAGCCGACGAUCGGUAGCCGGACUGAGAGGUUGAACGGCCACAUUGGGACUGAGACACGGCCCAGACUCCUACGGAAGGCAGCAG